rnacentral:rRNA from 1 species
UUGACGGUGGUCAUAGCAGCAGGGAAACGCCCGGUCCCAUUCCGAACCCGGAAGCUAAGCCUGCCCGCGCCGAUGGUACUGCACCCGCGAGGGUGUGGGAGAGUAGGAAGCCGCCGUCACC